rnacentral:lncRNA from 1 species
UGCUAACCUCAAUGCCCUCACCGGUGCUAGGGUUGCUAUCAUCCUAGAGGCGAGCAAUGGUUUUAUGCUCUUUCAGACAAACCAUCCUACAAUGGAUUUCUUGGGAUGGAUGCUUAAUUGGGUUAUGAUGGUACUAAGUAGACAUUCUUCUAUAGGAAAUGGUGAAUGUGUUUAUGCGCAAUAGGAAUCUUCUUCCAGUGAGCAAGAUGUUGAUGCUUCGGUGCAAUCUGAAGGACUUAGUUAGAAGCUAGUUAGACUUACAUUUUAGUUCUAUAUCGGAAUGAAAGCUAGUUACAUUACCACCUGGAAAAUGUUACCAUUUGGAGAUUUUACUAAGCCCCUUCCAGGCAAUAAUAUACAUGUUCAGUGUUAUAGGUCUUGGAACAUGGAAGUUUUUUUUGUAUGUGCCACUUCAUAUUUUCAUUAUAAUCAAAUAUUUUAUUUUCUUUUUGAGAUGUUAUGUAUCUUAUGGGUGAAGGAAGAGGAAACCUUGAUUUAUAAUACCACCCCUCUUAGCAUAUUAUGAUCCAACCAUUAGUAAUUAACAGAAAAUGGGAGCUAUGCGGAGUAACUAACUAAAAGGUAGCACAAGUUCAGAUUUCCACUCAAGCGACAAGCAUCAAUUGCUUUAAUUGCAUAAGAGUAUGAAAAAUAUGAACAACUCAAUAUGAGAUUCAUUUGAAAUCACGGUAAAUCAAUGUUUUAUUAAUAGAUGCCAAUGAUUUAUUGUCAUUAAAUUAAAACCAUAGUAUACCUGCGAGGACAUGGCGGCCACCUAAUUCUCCAUUUCAGUUCCAGUAGCAAGAAACAACAAAUUUAUGAAAUGAAUCUACUUUUGUUACCUUCGUUAGUUUUUAUCCUUGAAUAAAAAGUGAUUUUUUUUGUAAUGAUAUUGCUCAUCUAAUUAAUAAAUUAGACCCUCGGCAGGUUGCAUUAUGCAAUUGUUCUAAUCUUCUCACCGUUGACAGAGCAUGGUGCCCCAAUGUUUGGUUUUUGUAAUUGAUGACAAUGUCAGGACCGGAUUUUCGGGAUAUUAGUUUCCAGAAAAUGGCCCUUGUGCUCACCAGCCCCAGGAUUACUUUUAGCUGAUGAGGCACCAACUUGAUACAGAAAUUCCAAGCAAAAUACAUAAUAUGUAGUACAAGACCAUUCUGGCCUAUGAGUACAACAAAUGGUUUCCAGUGGUUGAUGGCGGAAGCGGUUUGUGGAUCAUCAGCGUCUAUGGGACUCCAAUUCCCACAUGAACAGCUGCCAGGUUAACUCCUAUCUUCGCGAGGCUGCUAUCACCGUUGCUUAGGUUCCGGGGCUGUCAUCGCAACGCUCCUCUCCAAGCAAGAAAUCUGGCCAAGACAAUAGCCAGGGACAAGCCAGUGAGUACUUUUGAAUGUACUCGCAAACAUUAUGAACACGGGUAUGAUAUAACAACCAAUAAUCAUACUCUAAAAUAUUCUAUGCUCACAACGUCCGUCAUAAAAAUAAUAUCCCUGAUACAUGCAAGCAGGUUAUUUAUGUAAAACAUGAAUAUGCAAUCAGAGAGUAAAAAUAAAAUGCACCGAGCGGGUGUCUGAAGCGACGCCUCGAAAGGAUAAUAAUAUAAGGCAUGCCUCAGUCGGGCGUCUGCGCGACACCACAUACAUGGCUUAUAAAGUAAAUAAAUAAUGAGCAUGCCACAGUCGGGCGUCUGAGAGACACCACAUAAAGGGCUUAUAAGGUAAACAAUAAGAAUGCCACAGUCGGGCGUCUGAGCGACACCACAUAAAGGGCUUAUAAGGUAAACAAUAAGAAUGCCACAGUCAGGCGUCUGAGCGACACCACAUAAAGGGCUUAUAAGGUAAACAAUAAGAAUGCCACAGUCGGGCGUCUGAGCGACACCACAUAAAGGGCUUAUAAGAAAACAAUCACAGUGAAUAUCCAGGAGGUAGAACCGUCCCAGAAUAAUCCCAGUAAUAUGGUGGGUAAGUCCAUAAUAGUAAUAAUCCCAAUCAUCAUAGUCAACACAAGUCACAGGUCAUGAUCCAUGUUCUGGUUUAGCAGUUUCUCCUCCGAAGACCGACACUUGACCAAACCCAGACUGUAGUCCUUAACCAUGGACAUGGCUAUUCGAAUAGAUUUAACCUCUGCAAACGGUGUACUCUUUACCCACGAGUAACGGAUUCCUUUAGUCCAUCGGGACUAAUUCCGUCUACGGCCUUUUAAUAGAAAACACACCUGACUUGCACACACCAGCUUAACUUACCAGUGUCUGGAAUCACCCACGACACCUGUCAAGCAAAAACUCUAAGUGGGGAGGCUACAACCUCGCGUAGCAUGGGAUCAAAUUCAUAUCGCACACUCUAAGUGGUGCCCCCCUCUCGGUCCCAUCCGAAAACACCCAUGCCCCCGGACCAGGUGGCCUGCCUACCAGCUGCAGUCGGUAUCUUCCACCAUGGCCUCUCUGUACGGUGUGUGCUAGAAAGGGGUUGACAGACAACUUACUGUACCGUACCCUACCUGCUGUAGGGACAAGUGGUAGUACGAAACAAGUAUGGGGGUUACUGGAACAAGACUCGAUCUAUGGCCGACUCAGGAAGUUUAAGUAUUCCCAGCAUGAUUAGCUUAAUGAAUAUAUUUCAUCCAACAGACAGGAUCACCACUCAUCAUACCCCAUCAUGCCAUACCGGACACACUCGUCUCGACGAGGAACUAGGGACAAGCUCGGGUCUACCCAAGAUAGAGACUUUCCAGUUUUCCUUCUGGUAGGCGCGAAGGGCAUACGAGGAUGAUCACUAUCACAAGCAUGUCCAUUUCCAACAGCAAGGAAAUCCCCAAUAUGCAUUCAUGCAAAUGAUCGCGUCACCACAUAAAAUAACGAGUUCUCCGUAUUAAGGUGGUGUUAUAAUCAUGUCAACUAACACACAAAAAUAUUAUGCCAGGGUUCAGAAUGCUUGCCUUCAAGGGUAUGCAAGUGGGGUGUGCCUUUUGAAAGUUGACUUCUUCUCCAAAAACCUAUUUUUGAAAAUAUUCAAAUUAACACAUACUUUAAAAACUGUACAAAAACGUUGCUUGGAAAAUUUUCAAAUAAAUAUGAAAAUAAACUAGACAAUAUUUGGGAAACAACAGAAAAAGAAUCAAGUCAUUUGGAUUUAUAUCUAAAAAGUUAUAGCCUAUCAAAGUUUAGUCAACUUUCUGUUUUUAAAAUAAAUCUGAAAAAAAGAAAAACGUUUCGAAAAGGGUACACGUCGAAGACGUACUUUGGGAAUAUGCCUCCACUUAAAACACGUGGUGGCGGGGUUGGGUCACUGACAGUGGGUCCAGCGGCCCCACUGGUCAGGUUUGACUAGUCCCCCGCCUUCUUCCUCCUCUGUCCGAGCCGAGGCGGGGGCUCCGGCGAUCGACGCUGGCGAACGGCAGCUCCUCGCGGGGCUCUGAGGGCGAGGAUGGAUCCGCCACUCCCAGGUGGUCCUCCCGGUGGUUGAGAGGGUGGCGGGGACGAAGGGAGUCGCCGGCGGUGAGCCUUGCGGUGGACGGCAGCUUCGGGAGGUUUGGGGGUUUGGGUUAUGGUGCUUCCCGAUCGACGCUGAGAGGGUGGGUGGCUCCGCACGGUUGGGGGGAGAAGGAUGGAAGCACGGGAGGGGUUUGGGGGCCUCGGUCUUGACCGGAUUUCACCGGAGUGUGGCGGCGGCCGAACCUGUCGGGGACGAGGAAGAUGGCCGUCAUUCGCCGAUUGCUGGCUACGGGGGGGCUCUAGGGGGGGUGGCUCGAGGCUGCCUGAGUGCUGGGACGAGCUCGGGGUCCCCUUUUAUAGUGCAACGAGGUCGGUUCCGCGGCGGCAGUGGAUAGGGACGCCGGCGAACCGCUUUUCUGUAGCUAGGGGUGAGGUGGAGAUGCUUGGAGCUGGUCGGCGCACUCCGACGAACUCCACACUGCUCAAGAGGCGAGCUGGCUCUCGUGUGUGGCUCGGGCGGCGCCGUCCAGGGCAGAGGUUGUCGGGGCGGCGGUGGCGACAUGCAGUGGUGAUGCUGUGGUGCGCCAGGAGGGGGGGCCAGGGUGGCUCUACAGCGAGGGAGGGGUCGGGACGCUGGCUGCGAGUGGAAGGGGCCAGAACGGGAGCGGGGGAGGCGGCAGCGGGAGGUGGCGGCUUGGGCGCACACACGUGCAAAACGCGCGCUCUGGGCGCGCCCAGAGCACGCACGUGACGUGCUCGACAAAAUGACAGGGUGACCUAGAGUGCUUGAGCGAGGCUGGCAAAUAACCGGACUAGGUUAGAGUCUGCAAGAAAGUUAGUGGACAAACUGGUUUGUCCAGAGGUGCAAGGUCACAGUGCAAAGGCAAAAAUCAUGUCAAAACUGCCCAUGCACUUAAGGUAUUUGACAAAAUGCCAAUGGCAUCUAGGCAACUCUUGGGGUGGCCAAAUAUUCCAGAUCAAAGUCUAUUUAGAUGUAGGAGAGGAUGGCAAGUUUAGUUGGCCAAAUGUAGAAACUUGUUAGUGUAAGUUUUGCAAAACUCCAGUUCUGGACAGAAGGAAAAGGGUAUAAUAUCAUGUACCAAAAAUGCUCCAAUGAGUCCAACCUCCUGGACUUAAGGGUUUGCUAGGGUGGUCUACAAUCAGGAGAAAGAAUCAAGGGAAAAAGAGCAAGCAAAAACAUGGUUGCAAUACAAAUCACCAAGUUGAACCAGAAUGCAAAUGAGGAUGAUUCACUCAAUUUUUUCAAAGAGCAUCAAUGGGUUCUUGCAUAAAGAUGAAUAAUAUACUCCUAUUAACACCCCAUAAUUUUCGUGGAAGUUUUAAAGAAAUAUUUAAUUAGGUUGUAAUGCAAAAUUGCCCAAUGGACCAGAUUUGAAAAUUUGAUGUAGAGCUCAAAAUAUCGAAAAAAUGAUAUAUAAUUUUGCAUAAAAGUGAUUUAAAAACAUCACAUGACAUCCCCAAAUUUUGGUGGGAUUUUUAAAUGAAUUUAUAAAAGGGUUGCAGUUCAAAUGGGACCCUAAAAUUUAUGAAAAACCCUUUUGGAGGAAUAAAGCUCAGGAAAAAUAAUUAUAUAAAUAAUCCUACUGAUAAAAGAAUUGUUUUAUUUGAGAGGGUAACUAAGUCCAAUAAUGUUUGAAACUUUUUCACUUGGGGUAAAAACCUCAUAAAAAUAAAGAAAAGAAUGGUUCUGAAAUCAACAGGAAAUCUAGAAAAUAAAAGUUUAAGUUUCCUGGCAAAAUUUUAAUAAAUAAAACAUGGUUAAAUUUUUGGGGUGUCACAACACUACCCCCCUUAAGAAAAAUCUCGUCCUCGAGAUUUGUUAAGAGUUGUUUUCGAAAAUAUCAUUCCUGUUAGUUGAAACCAAAAGGUUUACUCAUAGUACAAACCUUGUGUCGUCAAGGUUGGUUUUUGGCAGCUACGUCCGAGGUUAAAAAUGCAAUCUCACAUCGACAUACUCAUGCAUGGCUACUAUUUAAAAUAGGGCGCACAAGCAACAGUAUUUAAUUACGGCGAUACAGGGUCACACAGUUACAAGGCGAGGACAUGCUAAGACUUGGUACUACUCGAGCGACUCUAGUCUACCUCGUUAAUAUCUAAGCGGGCGUGCCUUGCGGACGUCGAGGCUUCACCACGGUUUUCACCGUCGGGAUUAGCUGGAGGGGGUUGAGGGGCUACAGGGUCGGGGUAGCGAUGAUGACCAUUCCGGGGAUUGUUGGCCACAAUCCCGUUGGAAUGUGUUCCCAAAAGGCGACGAAGCACUUCUGGGGCCAUCAAGGUAUUAUGGUCGAUGGCUGGGGCAGACCUCAAGGACUCGAUCGGUUGUCCGAACAGCACGACUGGGCUAUCGGUGCCGGACUCCUCUUCUCCUCUUGCUGGGGCUCGGCGGGUCAGUUCUCCACGAGCUGCGAUCAGAUCAAGGGUGAUUUGAUCGAACAGUCCCUCUAGUACACAUAGCCUACCAGAUGCAAUAAUGCAGGAUCCAUCUCGUGGUCUCUGUUGGCAACUUGGGGUGGUCUACCAUAUCCGACACGGCUGGGGUAGUAGUAGAACGAGCGGCAGUUGACUCUGGGCGACAAGUGCCGGAGUUGAACUAUAGCCUCUCGAGCAGCUAGUUGGAUGGCUUGUGGCUCAAAGGAAGUUGUCCUUCCGGUGAACCUGUAGGGGCGUUCUGGCGAUAGACCCCUACCGUAGACGUGCAUAGUGGCCCAGAAUUGACGGCUCUCACCGCUCAUGGGUCCUUGGUACACAACAUAUUCUGGGGGCUCUUCUAACGCGAAGGCACGGCGGGUGAGGUUUGCUAGCACGGUCACAAAACCUCCAAGGUUGGUUGCCGUGGUCUCAUUGUGAACAAUGGGUCCUGGCAUUUUAGCUUGGUUUGGGCAGAGGUUGUGCUGUGCUAGGUUGGGGCUAGCGUGCCCUUUUUAUAAAAAAAAGAACGGAGUCUUCCUUCGCACGCUUGCGAAUGAGAUAAUUUUGGUGUCGGUCACUGGCGCGUGAUCGACAGGCUAGGCUGAUAGGUUGGGCACCGACUGCCAAAAAGGUGUCGAUCACUGUGUGGCUAUCUUACACGAGAAGCUUGGCCGGAGUUAGGUUAAGGCCUGGUGGGUUGGUUUACCUAGGUUUUUUUUUACCUGUCUAAGAUAGGAUUAGCCAAUGGUCAGCCUGGCUCUGAUACCAAGUUUGUCAGGACCGGAUUUUCGGGAUAUUAGUUUCCAGAAAAUGGCCCUUGUGCUCACCAGCCCCAGGAUUACUGUUAGCUGAUGAGGCAACAACUUGAUAUAGAAAUUCCAAGCAAAAUACAUAAUAUGUAGUACAAGACCUUUCUGGCCUAUGAGUACAACAAAUGGUUUCUAGUGGUUGAUGGCGGAAGCGGUUUGUGGAUCAUCAGCGUCUAUGGGACUCCAAUUCCCACAGGAAUAGCUGACCUGGUUAACUCCUAUCUUCGUGAGGCUGCUAUCACCGUUGCUUAGGUUCCGGGGCUGUCAUCGCAACGCUCCUCUCCAAGCAAGAAAUCUGGCCAAGACAAUAGCCAGGGACAAGCCAGUGAGUACUUUUGAAUGUACUCGCAAACAUUAUGAACAUGGGUAUGAUAUAACAACCAAUAAUCAUACUCUAAAAUAUUCUAUGCUCACAACGUCCGUCAUAAAAAUAAUAUCCAUGAUACAUGCAAGCAGGUUAUUUACGUAAAACAUGAAUAUGCAAUCAGAGAGUAAAAAUAAAAUGCACCGAGCGGGUGUCUGAAGCGACGCCUUGAAAGUAUAAUAAUAUAAGGCAUGCCUCAGUCGGGCGUCUGCGCGACACCACAUACAUGGCUUAUAAAGUAAAUAAAUAAUGAGCAUGCCACAGUCGGGCGUCUGAGCGACACCACAUAAAGGGCUUAUAAGGUAAACAGUAAGAAUGCCACAGUCGGGCGUCUGAGCGACACCACAUAAAGGGCUUAUAAGGUAAACAAUAAGAAUGCCACAGUCGGGCGUCUGAGCGACACCACAUAAAGGGCUUAUAAGGUAAACAAUAAGAAUGCCACAGUCGGGCGUCUGAGCGACACCACAUAAAGGGCUUAUAAGAAAACAAUCACAGUGAAUAUCCAGGAGGUAGAACCAUCCCAGGGAUACUCAAUAAUCCCAGUAAUAUGGUGGGUUAGUCCAUAAUAAUAAUAAUCACAAUCAUCAUAAUCAACACAAGUCACAGGUCAUGAUCCAUGUUCUGGUUUAGCAGUUUCUCCUCCGAAGACCGACACUAAGACCGACACUUGACCCAACCCAUACUGUAGUCCUUAACCAUGGACACGGCUAUUCGAAUAGAUUUAACCUCUGCAGAGGGUGUACUCUUUACCCACGAGUAACGGAUUCCUUAAGUCCAUCGGGACUAAUUUCGUCUACGGUCUUUUAAUUGAAAACACACCUGACUUGCACGCAACAGCUUAACUUACCGGUGUCUGGAAUCACCCACGAAACCUGUCAAGCAAAAACUCUAAAUGUGGAGGCUACAACCUCACAUAGCAUGGGAUCAAAUUUAUAUCACGCGCUCUAAGGGGUGCCCCCCCCUCUCGGUCCCAGCCGGAAACACCCAUGCCCCCGGACCAGGUGGCCUGCCUACCGGCUACACUCGGUAUCUUCGACCAUGGCCUCUCUGUACGGUGUGUGCUAGAAAGGGGUUGACAACUUACUAAACCAUACCCUACCUACUGUAGGGACAAGUGGUAGUACGAAACAAGUAUGGGGGUUACUGGAACAAGACUCGAUCUAUGGCCGACUCAGGAGGUUUAAGUAUUCCCUGCAUGAUUAGCUUAACGAAUAUAUUUCAUCCAACAGACAGGAUCACCACUCAUCAUACCCCAUCAUGCCGUACCGGACACACUCGUCUCGAAGAGGAACUACGGACAAGCUCGGGUCUACCCAAGACAGAGACUUUCCCGUUUUCCUUUCGGUAGGCGCGAAGGGCAUACGAGGAUGAUCACUAUCACAAGCAUGUCCAUUUCCAACAGCAAGGAAAUCCCCAAUAUGCAUUCAUGCAAAUGAUCGCGUCACCACAUAAAAUAAUGAGUUCUCCGUAUUAAGGUGGUGUUAUAAUCAUGUCAACCAACACACAAAAAUAUUAUGCCAGGGUUCAGAAUGCUUACCUUCAAGGGUAUGCAAGUGGGGUGUGCCUUUUGAAAGUUGACUUCUUCUUCCAAAACCUAUUUUCGAAAAUAUUCAAAUUAGCACAUACUUUAAAAACAGUACAAAAAAGUUGCUUGGAAAAUUUUCAAAUAAAUAUGAAAAUAAACUAGACAAUAUUUGGGAAACAACAGAAAAAGAAUCAAGUCAUUUGGAUUUAUAUCUAAAAAGUUAUAGCCUGUCAAACUUUAGUCAACUUUCUGUUUUUAAAAUAAAACUGAAAAAAAAAGAAAAACGUUUCGAAAAGGGUACACAUCGAAGUCGUACUUUGGGAAUACGCCUCCACUUAAAACACGUGGUGGCGGGGCUGGGUCACUGACACUGGGUCCAGCGGCCCCACUGGUCAGGUUUGACUAGUCCCCCGCCUUCUCCCUCCUCUCUCCGAGCCGAGGCGGGGGCUCCGACGAUCGACGCCGGCGAACGGCGGCUCCUCGCGGGGCUCUGAGGGCGGGGAUGGAUCCGCCACUCCCGGGCGGUCCUCCCGGUGGUCGAGAGGGUGGCGGGAAUGAAGGGAGUCGCCGGCGGCGAGCCUUGCGGCGGACGGCAGCUUCGGGAGGUUUGGGGGUUUGGGUUAUGGUGCUUCCCGAUUGACGCUGAGAGGGUGGGUGGCUCUGCACGGUUGGGGGGAGAAGGAUGGAAGCACGGGAGGGGUUUGGGGGCCUCGGUCUUGGCCGGAUUUCACCGGAGUGUGGCGGCGGCCGAACCUGUCAGGGAUGAGGAAGAUGGCCGUCAUUCGCCGAUUGCUGGCUACGGGAGGGCUCUAGGGGGGUGGCUCGAGGCUGCCUGAGUGCUGGGACGAGCUCGGGGUCCCCUUUUAUAGUGCAACGAGGUUGGUUCCGCGGCGGCAGUGGAUCGGGACACCGGCGAACCGCCGUUCUGUAGCUAGGGGCGACGUGGAGGUGGUUGGAGCUGGUCGGCGCACUCCGACGAACUCCACACUGCUCAAGGGGCGAGCUGGCGCGCGUGUGUGGCUCGGGCGGCGCUAUCCAGGGCAUAGGUUGUCGGGGCGGCGGUGGCGGCCUGCGGUGGUGAUGUUGUGGUGCGCCAGGAGGGGGGGCCAGGGUGGCUCUGCGGCGAGGGAGGGGUCGGGACGCUGGCUGCGAGUGGAAGGGGCCAGAACGGGUGCGGGGGAGGCGGCAGCGGGACGCGGCGGCUCGGGCGCACGCACGUGCAAAACGCGCGCUCUGGCCGCGCCCAGAGCACGCACGCGACGUGCUCGACAAAAUGCCAGGGUGACCUAGAGUGCUUGAGCGAGGCUGGCAAAUAACCGGACUAGGUUAGAGUCUGCAAGAAAGUUAGUGGACAAACUGGUUUGUCCAGAGGUGCAAGGUCACAGUGCAAAGGCAAAAAUCAUGUCAAAACUGCCCAUGCACUUAAGGUGUUUGACAAAAUGCCAAUGGCAUCUAGGCAACUCUUGGGUGGCCAAAUAUUCCAGAUCAAAGUCUCUUUAGAUGUAGGAGAGGAUGGCAAGGUUAGUUGGCCAAAUCUAGAAACUUGUUAGUGUAAGUUUUGCAAAAGUCUAGUUCUGGACAGAAGGAAAAGGGUAUAAUAUCAUGUACCAAAAAUGCUCCAAUGAGUCCAACCUCCUGGACUUAAGGGUUUGGUAGGGUGGUCUAGAAUUAGGAGAAAGAAUCAAGGGAAAAAGAGCAAGCAAAAAUAUGGUUGCAAUACAAAUCACCAAGUUGAACCAGAAUGCAAAUGAGGAUGAUUCACUCAAUUUUCUCAAAGAGCAUCAAUGGGUUUUUGCAUAAAGAUGAAUAAUAUACUCCUAUUAACACCCCAUAAUUUUGGUGGAAGUUUUAAAGAAAUAUUUAAUUAGGUUGUAGUGCAAAAUUACCCACUGGACCAGAUUUGAAAAUUUGAUGUAGACCUCAAAAUAUCCAAAGAAUGAAAUAUAUUUUUGCAUAAAAGUGAUUUAAAAACAUCACAUGACAUCCCCAAAUUUUGGUGGGAUUUUUAAAUGAAUUUAUAAAAGGGUUGCAGUUCAAAUGGGACCCUAAAAUUUAUGAAAAACCCUUUUGGAGGAAUAAAGCUCAGGAAAAAUAAUUAUAUAAAUAAUCCUACUGAUAAAAGAAUUGUUUUAUUUGAGAGGGUAACUAAGUCUAAUAAUGUUUGAAACUUUUUCACUUGGGGUAAAAACCUCAUAAAAAUAAAGAAAAGAAUGGUUCUGAAAUCAACAGGAAAUCUAGAAAAUAAAAGUUUAAGUUUCCUGGCAAAAUUUUAAUAAAUAAAACAUGGUUAAAUUUUUGGGGUGUCACAACACUACCCCCCUUAAGAAAAAUCUCGUCCUCGAGAUUUGUUAAGAGUUGUUUUCGAAAAUAUCAUUCCUGUUAGUUGAAACCAAAAGGUUUACUCAUAGUACAAACCUUGUGUCGUCAAGGUUGGUUUUUGGCAGCUACGUCCGAGGUUAAAAAUGCAAUCGCACAUCGACAUACUCAUGCAUGGCUACUAUUUAAAAUAGGGCGCACAAGCAACAGUAUUUAAUUACGGCGAUACAGGGUCACACAGUUACAAGGCGAGGACAUGCUAAGACUUGGUACUACUCGAGCAACUCUAGUCUACCUCGUUAAUAUCUAAGCGGGCGUGCCUUGCGGACUUCGAGGCUUCGCCACGGUUUUCACCAUCGGGAUUAGCUGGAGGGGGUUGAGGGGCUGCAGGGUCGGGGUAGCGAUGAUGACCAUUCCGGGGAUUGUUGGCCACAAUCCCGUUGGAAUGUGUUCCCAAAAGGCGACGAAGCACUUCUGGGGCCAUCGAGGUAUUAUGGUCGAUGGCUGGGGCAGACCUCAAGGACUCGAUCGGUUGUCCGAACAGCACGACUGGGCUGUCGGUGUCGGGCUCCUCUUCUCCUCUUGCUGGGGCUCGGCGGGUCAGUUCUCCACGAGCUGCGAUCAGAUCAGGGGUGAUUUGAUCGAACAAUCCCUCUAGUACACAUAGCGUACCAGAUGCAAUAAUGCAGGAUCCGUCUCGUGGUCUCCGUUGGCAACUUGGGGUGGUCUACCAUAUCCGUCACGGCUGGGGUAGUAGUAGAACGAGCGGUAGUUGACUCUGGGCGACAAGUGUCGGAGUUGAACUAUAGCCUCUCGAGCAGCUAGUUGGAUGGCUUGUGGCUCAAAGGAAGUUGUCCUUCCGGUGAACCUGUAGGGGCGUUCUGGCGAUAGACCCCUACCGUAGACGUGCACAGUGGCCCAGAAUUGACGGCUCUCACAGCUCAUGGGUCCUUGGUACACAACAUAUUCUGGGGGCUCUUCUAUCGCGAAGGCACGGCGGGUGAGGUUUGCUAGCACGGUCACAAAACCUCCAAGGUUGGUUGCCGUGGUCUCAUUGUGAACAAUGGGUCCUGGCAUUUUAGCUUGGUUUGGGCAGAGGUUGUGCUGUGCUGGGUUUGGGCUAGCAUGCCCUUUAUUAAAAAAAAGGACGGAGUCUUCCUUCGCACGCUUGCGAAUGACAUAAUUUUGGUGUCGGUCACUGGCGCGUGAUCGACAGGCUAGGCUGAUAGGUUGGGCACUGACUGCCAAAAAGGUGACGGUCACUGUGUGGCUAUCUUACACGAGAAACUUGGCCGGGGUUAGGUUAAGGCCUGGUGGGUUGGUUUACCUAGGUUUUUUUUGACCUGUCUAAGAUAGGAUUAGCCAAUGGCCAGCCUGGCUCUGAUACCAAGUUUGUAAGGACCGGAUUUUUGGGAUAUUAGUUUCCAGAAAAUGGCCCUUAUGCUCACCAGCCCCAGGAUUACUGUUAGCUGAUGAGGCAACUACUUGAUACAGAAAUUCCAAGCAAAAUACAUAAUAAGUAGUACAAGACCAUUCUGGCCUAUGAGUACAACAAAUGGUUUCUAGUGGUUGACGGCGGAAGCGGUUUGUGGAUCAUCAGUGUCUAUGGGACUCCAAUUCCCACAGGAACAGCAGACCAGGUUAACUUAUCUUCGUGAGGCUGCUAUCACCGUUGCUUAGGUUCCCGGGCUGUCAUCACAACGCUCCUCUCCAAGCAAGAAAUCUGGCCAAGACAAUAGCCAGGGACAAGCCAGUGAGUACUUUUGAAUGUACUCGCAAACAUUAUGAACACGGGUAUGAUAUAACAACCAAUAAUCAUACUCUAAAAUAUUCUAUGCUCACAACGUCCGUCAUAAAAAUAAUAUCCCUGAUACAUGCAAGUAGGUUAUUUAUGUAAAACAUGAAUAUGCAAUCAGAGAGUAAAAAUAAAAUGCACCGAGCGGGUGUCUGAAGCGACGCCUCGAAAGGAUAAUAAUAUAAGGCAUGCCUCAGUCGGGCGUCUGCGCGACACCACAUACAGGGCUUAUGAAGUAAAUAAAUAAUGAGCAUGCCACAGUCGGGCGUCUGAGCGACACCACAUAAAGGGCUUAUAAGGUAAACAAUAAGAAUGCCACAGUCGGGCGUCUGAGCGACACCACAUAAAGGGCUUAUAAGGUAAACAAUAAGAAUGCCACAGUCGGGCGUUUGAGCGACACCACAUAAAGGGCUUAUAAGAAAACAAUCACAGUGAAUAUCCAAGAGGUAGACCCGUCCUAGGGAUACUCAAUAAUCCCAGUAAUAUGGUGGGUUAGUCCAUAAUAAUAAUAAUCACAAUCAUCAUAAUCAACACAAGUCACAGGUCAUGAUCCAUGUUCUGGUUUAGCAGUUUCUCCUCCGAAGACCGACACUAAGACCGACACUUGACCCAACCCAUACUGUAGUCCUUAACCAUGGACAUGGCUAUUCGAAUAGAUUUAACCUCUGCAGAGGGUGUACUCUUUACCCACGAGUAACGGAUUCCUUUAGUCCAUCGGGACUAAUACCGUCUACGGUCUUUUAAUUGAAAACACACCUGACUUGCACACACCAGCUUAACUUACCGUUGUCUCGAAUCACCCACGACAUCUGUCAAGCAAAAACUCUAAGUGUGGAGGCUACAACCUCGCAUAGCAUGGGAUCAAAUUUAUAUCGCGCGCUCUAAGGGGUGCCCCCCUCUCGGUCCCAACCGGAAACACCCAUGCCGCCGGACCAAGUGGCCUGCCUACCGGCUGUAGUCGGUAUCUUCCACCAUGGCCUCUCUGUACGGUGUGUGCUAGAAAGGGGUUGACAACUUACUGAACCGUACCCUACCUGCUGUAGGGACAAGUGGUAGUAUGAAACAAGUAUGGGGGUUACUGGAACAAGACUCGAUCUAUGGCCGACUCAGGAGGUUUAAGUAUUCCCUGCAUGAUUAGCUUAACGAAUAUAUUUCAUCCAACAGACAGGAUCACCACUCAUCAUACCCCAUCAUGCCAUACCGGACACACUCGUAUCGACGAGGAACUAGGGAUAAGCUCGGGUCUACCCAAGACAGAGACUUUCCCGUUUUCCUUCCGGUAGGCGCGAAUGGCAUACGAGGAUGAUCACUAUCACAAGCAUGUCCAUUUCCAACAGCAAGGAAAUCCCCAAUAUACAUUCAUGCAAAUGAUCGCGUCACCACAUAAAAUAACGAGUUCUCCGUAUUAAGGUGGUGUUAUAAUCAUGUCAACCAACACACAAAAAUAUUAUGCCGGGGUUCAGAAUGCUUACCUUCAAGGGUAUGCAAGUGGGGUGUGCCUUUUGAAAGUUGACUUCUUCUUCAAAUACCUAUUUUCAAAAAUAUUCAAAUUAACACAUACUUUAAAAACAGUACAAAAAAGUUACUUGGAAAAUUUUCAAAUAAAUAUGAAAAUAAACUAGACAAUAUUUGGGAAACAGCAUAAAAAGAAUCAAGUUAUUUGGAUUUAUAUCUAAAAAUUAUAGCCUGUCAAAGUUUAGUCAACUUUCUUUUUUUAAAAUAAAACUGAAAAAAAAGAAAAACGUUUCGAAAAGGGUACACGUCGAAGACGUACUUUGGGAAUACGCCUCCACUUAAAACACGUGGUGGUGGAGCUGGGUCACUGACACUGGGUCCAGCGGCCCCACUAGUCAGGUUUGACUAGUCCCCCGCCUUCUUCCUCCUCUGUCCGAGCCGAGGCGGGGGCUCCGGCUAUCGACGCCGGCGAACGGCGGCUCCUCGCGGGGCUCUAAGGGCGGGGAUGGAUCCGCCACUCCCGUGCGGUCCUCCCGGUGGUCGAGAGGGUGGCGGGGACGAAGGGAGUCGCCGGCGGCGAGCCUUGCGGCGGACGGCAGCUUCGGGAGGUUUGGGGGUUUGGGUUAUGGUGCUUCUCGAUCGACGCUGAGAGGGUGGGUGGCUCUGCACGGUUGGGGGGAGAAGGAUGGAAGCACAGGAGGGGUUUGGGGGCCUCGGUCUUGGCCGAAUUUCACCGGAGUGUGGCGGCGGCCGAACCUGUCGGGGACGAGGAAGAUGGCCGUCAUUCUCCGAUUGCUGGCUACGGGGGGGGGGCUCUAGGGGGGUGGCUCGAGGCUGCCUGAGUGCUGGGACGAGCUCGGGGUCCCCUUUUAUAGUGCAACGAGGUCGGUUCCGCGGCGGCAGUGGAUAGGGACGCAGCGAACCGCCAUUCUGUAGCUAGGGGCGACGUGGAGGUGGUUGGAGCUGGUCGGCGCACUCCGAUGAACUCCACACUGCUCAAGGGGCAAGCUGGCGCGCGUGUGUGGCUCGGGCGCCGCCGUCCAGGGCAGAGGUUGUCGGGGCGGCGCUGGCGGCAUGCGGUUGUGAUGCUGUGGUGCGCCAGGAGGGGGGCAGGGUGGCGCUGCGGCGAGGGAGGCGGGACGCUGGCUGCGAGUGGAAGGGGCCAGAACGGGUGCGGGGGAGGCGGCAGCGGGACGCGGUGGCUCGGGCGCAUGCACGUGCAAAACGCGCGCUCUAGCCGCGCCCAGAGCACGCACGCGACAUGCUCAACAAAAUGCCAGGGUGACCUAGAGUGCUUGAGCGAGGCUGGCAAAUAACCGGACUAGGUUAGAGUCUGCAAGAAAGUUAGUGGACAAACUGGUUUGUCCAGAGGUGCAAGGUCACAGUGCAAAGGCAAAAAUCAUGUCAAAACUGCCCAUGCACUCAAGGUGUUUGACAAAAUGCCAAUGGCAUCUAGGCAACUCUUGGGGUGGCCAAAUAUUCCAGAUCAAAGUCUAUUUAGAUGUAGGAGAGGAUGGCAAGGUUAGUUGGCCAAAUCUAGAACCUUGUUAGUGUAAGUUUUGCAAAACUCCAGUUCUGGACAGAAGGAAAAGGGUAUAAUAUCAUGUACCAAAAAUGCUCCAAUGAGUCCAACCUCCUGGACUUAAGGGUUUGGUAGGGUGGUCUAGAAUCAGGAGAAAGAAUCAAGGGAAAAAGAGCAAGCAAAAAUAUGGUUUCAAUAAAAAUCACCAAGUUGAACCAGAAUGCAAAUGAGGAUGAUUCACUCAAUUUUUUCAAAGAGCAUCAAUGGGUUUUUGCAUAAAGAUGAAUAAUAUACUCCUAUUAACACCCCAUAAUUUUGGUGGAAGUUUUAAAGAAAUAUUUAAUUAGGUUGUAGUGCAAAAUUGCCCACUUGACCAGAUUUGAAAAUUUGAUGUAGAGCUCAAAAUAUCCAAAGAAUGAUAUAUAUUUUUGCAUAAAAGUGAUUUAAAAACAUCACAUGACAUCCCCAAAUUUUGGUGGGAUUUUUAAAUGAAUUUAUAAAAGGGUUGCAGUUCAAAUGGAACCCUAAAACUUAUGAAAACCCCUUUUAGAGGAAUAAAGCUCAGGAAAAAUAAUUAUAUAAAUAAUCCUACUGAUAAAAGAAUUGUUUUAUUUGAGAGGGUAAAUAAGUCCAAUAAUGUUUGAAUUUUUUUCACUUGGGGUAAAAACCUCAUAAAAAUAAAGAAAAGAAUGGUUCUGAAAUCAAUAGGAAAUCCUGAAAAUAAAAGUUUAAGUUUCCUGGCAAAAUUUUAAUAAAUAAAACAUGGUUAAAUUUUUGGGGUGUCACAACACUACCCCCCUUAAGAAAAAUCUCGUCCUCAAGAUUUGUUAAGAGUUGUUUUCGAAAAUAUCAUUCCUGUUAGUUGAAACCAAAAGGUUUACUCAUAGUACAAACCUUGUGUCGUCAAGGUUGGUUUUUGGCAGCUACGUCCGUGGUUAAAAAUGCAAUCGCACAUCGACAUACUCAUGCAUGGCUACUAUUUAAAAUAGGGCGCACAAGCAACAGUAUUUAAUUACGGCGAUACAGGUUCACACAGUUACAAGGCGAGGACAUGCUAAGACUUGGUACUACUCGAGCAACUCUAGUCUACCUCGUUAAUAUCUAAGCGGGCGUGCCUUGCGGACUUCGAGGCUUCGCCACGGUUUUCACCAUCGGGAUUAGCUGGAGGGGGUUGAGGGGCUGCAGGGUCGGGGUAGCGAUGAUGACCAUUCCGGGGAUUGUUGGCCACAAUCCCGUUGGAAUGUGUUCCCAAAAGGCGACGAAGCACUUCUGGGGCCAUCGAGGUAUUAUGGUCGAUGGCUGGGGCAGACCUCAAGGACUCGAUCGGUUGUCCGAACAGCACGACUGGGCUGUCGGUGCCGGGCUCCUCUUUUCCUCUUGCUGGGGCUCGGCGGGUCAGUUCUCCACGAGCUGCGAUCAGAUCAAGGGUGAUUUGAUCGAACAGUCCCUCUAAUACACAUACCGUACCAGAUGCAAUAAUGCAGGAUCCAUCUCGUGGUCUCCGUUGGCAACUUGGGGUGGUCUACCAUAUCCGUCACGGCUGGGGUAGUAGUAGAACGAGCGGCAAUUGACUCUGGGCGACAAGUGCCGGAGUUGAACUAUAGCCUCUCGAGCAGCUAGUUGGAUGGCUUGUGGCUCAAAGGAAGUUGUCCUUCCGGUGAACCUGUAGGGGCAUUCUGGUGAUAGACCCCUACCGUAGACGUGCACAGUGGCCCAGAAUUGAUGGCUCUCACCGCUCAUGGGUCCUUGGUACACAACAUAUUCUGGGGGCUCUUCUAACGCGAAGGCACGGCGGGUGAGGUUUGCUAGCACGGUCACAAAACCUCCAAGGUUGGUUGCCGUGGUCUCAUUGUGAACAAUUGGUCCUGGCAUUUUAGCUUGGUUUGGGCAGAGGUUGUGAUGUGCUGGGUUGGGGCUAGCGUGCCCUUUUUAUAAAAAAAAGGACGGAGUCUUCCUUCGCACGCUUGCGAAUGAGAUAAUUUUGGUGUCGGUCACUGGCGCGUGAUCGACAGGCUAGGCUGAUAGGUUGGGCACCGACUGCCAAAAAGGUGUUGGUCACUGUGUGGCUAUCUUACACGAGAAGCUUGGCCGGGGUUAGGUUAAGGCCUGGUGGGUUGGUUUACCUAGGUUUUUUUUUGACCUGUCUAAGAUAGGAUUAGCCAAUGGUCAGUCUGGCUUUGAUACCAAGUUUGUCAGGACCGGAUUUUCGGGAUAUUAGUUUCCAGAAAAUUGCCCUUGUGCUCACCAGCCCCAGGAUUACUGUUAGCUGAUGAGGCAACAACUUGAUACAGAAAUUCCAAGCAAAAUACACAAUAUGUAGUACAAGACCUUUCUGGCCUAUGAGUACAACAAAUGGUUUCUAGUGGUUGAUGGCGGAAGCGGUUUGUGGAUCAUCAGCGCCUAUGGGACUCCAAUUCCCACAGGAACAGCUGACCUGAUUAACUCCUAUCUUCGUGAGGCUGCUAUCACCGUUGCUUAGGUUCCGGGGCUGUCAUCGCAACGCUCCUCACCAAGCAAGAAAUCUGGCCAAGACAAUAGCCAGGGACAAGCCAGUGAGUACUUUUGAAUGUACUCGCAAACAUUAUGAACACGGGUAUGAUAUAACAACCAGUAAUCAUACUCUAAAAUAUUCUAUGCUCACAACGUCCGUCAUAAAAAUAAUAUCCCUGAUACAUGCAAGCAGGUUAUUUAUGUAAAACAUGAAUAUUCAAUCAGAGAGUAAAAAUAAAAUGCACCGAGCGGGUGUCUGAAGCGACGCCUCGAAAGGAUAAUAAUAUAGGGCAUGCCUCAGCCGGGCGUCUGCGCGACACCACAUACAUGGCUUAUAAAGUAAAUAAAUAAUGAGCAUGCCACAGUCGGGCGUCUGAGCGACACCACAUAAAGGGCUUAUAAGGUAAACAAUAAGAAUGCCACAGUCGGGCGUCUGAGCGACACCACAUAAAGGGCUUAUAAGGUAAACAAUAAGAAUGCCGCAGUCGGGCGUCUGAGCGACACCACAUAAAGGUCUUAUAAGGUAAACAAUAAGAAUGCCACAGUCGGGCGUCUGAGCGACACCACAUAAAGGGCUUAUAAUAAAACAAUCACAGUGAAUAUCCAGGAGGUAGAACCGUCCCAGGGAUACUCAAUAAUCCCAGUAAUAUGGUGGGUUAGUCCAUAAUAAUAAUAAUCACAAUCAUCAUAAUCAACACAAGUCACAGGUCAUGAUCCAUGUUCUGGUUUAGCAGUUUCUCCUCAGAAGACCGACACUUGACCCAACCCAUACUGUAGUCCUUAACCAUGGACACGUCUAUUCGAAUAGAUUUAACCUCUGCAGAGGGUGUACUCUUUACCCACGAGUAACGGAUUCCUUUAGUCCAUCGGGACUAAUUCCGUCUACGGUCUUUUAAUUGAAAACACACCUGACUUGCACACACCAGCUUAACUUACCGGUGUCUGGAAUCACCCACGACACCUGUCAAGCAAAAACUCUAAGUGUGGAGGCUACAACCUCGCAUAGCAUGGGAUCAAAUUUAUAUCGCGCGCUCUAAGGGGUGCCCCCGCCCCCUCUCGGUCCGAACCGGAAACACCCAUGCCCCCGGACCAGGUGGCCUGCCUACCGGCUGCAGUCGGUAUCUUCCACCAUGACCUCUCUGUACAGGGACUUUCCCGUUUUCCUUUCGGUAGGCGCGAAGGGCAUACGAGGAUGAUCACUAUCACAAGCAUGUCCAUUUCCAACAGCAAGGAAAUCCCCAAUAUGCAUUCAUGCAAAUGAUCGCGUCACCACAUAAAAUAACGAGUUCUCCCUAUUAAGGUGGUGUUAUAAUCAUGUCAACCAACACACAAAAAUAUUACGCCAGGGUUCAGAAUGCUUACCUUCAAGGGUAUGCAAGUGGGGUGUACCUUUUGAAAGUUGUCUUCUUCUUCAAAAACCUAUUUUCGAAAAUAUUCAAAUUAACACAUACUUUAAAAACAGUACAAAAAGUUGCUUGGAAAAUUUUCGAAUAAAUAUGAAAAUAAACUAGACAAUAUUUGGGAAACAACAGAAAAAGAAUCAAGUCAUUUGGAUUUAUAUCUAAAAAGUUAUAGCCUGUCAAACUUUAGUCAACUUUUUGUUUUUAAAAUAAAACUGAAAAAAAAUGUUUCGAAAAGGGUACACGUCAAAGUCGUACUUUGGGAAUACGCCUCCACUUAAAACACGUGGUGGCGGGGCUGGGUCACUAACACUAGGUCCAGCGGCCCCACUGGUCAGGUUUGACUAGUCCCCCGCCUUCUUCCUCCUCUGUCCGAGCCGAGGCGGGGGCUCCGGCGAUCGACGCCGGCGAACGACGGCUCCUCGCGGGGCUCUGAGGGCGGGGAUGGAUCCGCCACUCCCGGGCGGUCCUCCCGAUGGUCGAGAGGGUGGCGGGGACGAAGGGAGUCGCCGGCGGCGAGCCUUGCGGCGGACGGCAGCUUCGGGAGGUUUGGGGGUUUGGGUUAUGGUGCUUCCCGAUCGACGCUGAGAGGGUGGGUGGCUCCGCACGGUUGGGGGAGAAGGAUGGAAGCACGGGAGGGGUUUGGGGGCCUCGGUCUUGGCCGGAUUUCACCGGAGUGUGGCGGCGGCCGAACCUGUCGGGGACGAGGAAGAUGGCCGUCAUUCACCGAUUGCUGGCUACGGGAGGGCUCUAGGGGGGUGGCUCGAGGCUGCCUGAGUGCUGGGACGAGCUCGGGGUCCCCUUUUAUAGUGCAACGAGGUUGGUUCCGCGGCGGCAGUGGAUCGGGACACCGGCGAACCGCCGUUCUGUAGCUAGGGGCGACGUGGAGGUGGUUGGAGCUGGUCGGCGCACUCCGACGAACUCCACACUGCUCAAGGGGCGAGCUGGCGCGCGUGUGUGGCUCGGGCGGCGCUAUCCAGGGCAGAGGUUGUCGGGGCGGCGGUGGCGGCCUGCGGUGGUGAUGUUGUGGUGCGCCAGGAGGGGGGGCCAGGGUGGCUCUGCGGCGAGGGAGGGGUCGGGACGCUGGCUGCGAGUGGAAGGGGCCAGAACGGGUGCGGGGGAGGCGGCAGCGGGACGCGGCGGCUCGGGCGCACGCACGUGCAAAACGCGCGCUCUGGCCGCGCCCAGAGCACGCACGCGACGUGCUCGACAAAAUGCCAGGGUGACCUAGAGUGCUUGAGCGAGGCUGGCAAAUAACCGGACUAGGUUAGAGUCUGCAAGAAAGUUAGUGGACAAACUGGUUUGUCCAGAGGUGCAAGGUCACAGUGCAAAGGCAAAAAUCAUGUCAAAACUGCCCAUGCACUCAAGGUGUUUGACAAAAUGCCAAUGGAAUCUAGGCAACUCUUGGGGUGGCCAAAUAUUCCAGAUCAAAGUCUCUUUAGAUGUAGGAGAGGAUGGCAAGGUUAGUUGGCCAAAUCUAGAAACUUGUUAGUGUAAGUUUUGCAAAAGUCUAGUUCUGGACAGAAGGAAAAGGGUAUAAUAUCAUGUACCAAAAAUUCUCCAAUGAGUCCAACCUCCUGGACUUAAGGGUUUGGUAGGGUGGUCUAGAAUCAGGAGAAAGAAUCAAGGGAAAAAGAGCAAGCAAAAAUAUGGUUGCAAUACAAAUCACCAAGUUGAACCAGAAUGCAAAUGAGGAUGAUUCACUCAAUUUUUUCAAAGAGCAUCAAUGGGUUUUUGCAUAAAGAUGAAUAGUAUACUCCUAUUAACACCCCAUAAUUUUGGCGGAAGUUUUAAAGAAAUAUUUAAUUAGGUUGUAGUGCAAAAUUGCCCACUGGACCAGAUUUGAAAUUUUGAUGUAGAGCUCAAAAUAUCCAAAGAAUGAAAUAUAUUUUUGCAUAAAAGUGAUUUAAAAACAUCACAUGACAUCCCCAAAUUUUGGUGGGAUUUUUAAAUGAAUUUAUAAAAGGGUUGCAGUUCAAAUGGGACCCUAAAACUUAUGAAAAAUCCUUUUAGAGGAAUAAAGCUCAGGAAAAAUAAUUAUAUAAAUAAUCCUACUGAUAAAAGAAUUGUUUUAUUUGAGAGGGUAAAUAAGUACAAUAAUGUUUGAAAAGUUUUCACUUGGGGUAAAAACCUCAUCAAAAUAAAGAAAAGAAUGGUCCUGAAAUCAAUAGGAAAUCCAGAAAAUAAAAGUUUAAGUUUCCUGGCAAAAUUUUAAUAAAUAAAACACGGUUAAAUUUUUGGGGUGUCACAGACAAUCUCUAUGGACUAAUGGUUGCUUUGAGUUAUAUUUGAAAGGUUAUCCAUAGGCAAUGCUUGAAGACCAUAUGUUGGUUUCAAGGUUGAAAGAAGAAUAUUAUUUGUUGACCAAGGUGUUAUUCAUGGAGUUAUCCAAAUAUUGGUCAUGUGAGAGUUGAGUAUAUUGCAAGCAUGUCUUGAAAAUAAGAUUAUUUGAACAUUCAUGUUGCCUUUAAUACAUCAUCUUUAUGAAGAGAGAAGAUAAGAUACAAGGUUGAUCAAGACUAAGUACAAAGAAUGGAUUCAAGUUGAUGAACACACAAAGCAUAGAAGAUGUACCGAGUCGAAUCAAGUGAUCUCACGAUAUGGUAAGCAUUGUCCAUUAUGCUUUGUGUAACCCAUGAUCUAUUUGUGUGGUGUUCCUAUGUGGGGCUAGUUUUUUUCCAUGGGCUUACAUCAAGAGGAAGAUAUCAGAUAACCCAUGGAGGAUGACAUCAUGUGGUGAUCGUCAUCAAUGUUGUGUUGUGCAAGUUCAAGUGGAGCAUCACAAAGAGAUCACAUGCUUGAAGCUUGCCAUCCAUUCUGGUGAUAAUGGAGUUGUGAAGAUGUGCCAAAGAGAGGCCAACCCAUAGUGGAGUAUGGGGGAGCAAUAUAUUGGUCUUCAUCGAGCUAGCGCAAUCAGAAAGGUGGUCCAACAUGAGGAGGACGAGAUCAUCAUCGUCUAGCUCAAGUGGACUAUGCGCAAGGCAAAGGUUUGACCUUAAUAGGUUUUCUGUUUUACCGAUCUGAUGGUGUUAGUUGGGAGACCGGGUUGAAGGAUUGAUUGACGUACUAUCAAGGGGGCUCUCGAGUGAGUAGCUUGAGCGUAUCAUUCAUAGAGAGCUCAAACCAUUGCAUCAUUGGCAUCAUCUUUCUUGGUUCUUGUUUGGCUUUUCCCUAUGUGAGUUUUGGAGCUUGUGGUCAUCUCCGUGGCAAGUUCAAGUUGAUCAAAAAUGGAUUUCAUAUGCAGCAUGUAUUGUGUUUUCGAUGUAGGAGUUUUUGCCAGUUCUUCACUCAUGUAUAUUUCACACCUCUAUUGUGAUUUGACAACUCUUGUAGUUACCUUUCUAUCAAGUUUCAAUUCAUCAAUAUCAAAGUGGUGGUACCGCUUGCUACUGGUGGUAGUACUGCUUAUGCAGUACUUUCGCUGGUUGGUGCCGUGGCUACCUCUGGUUGUGUUUAGUCUUCUGUAUGCCUCUGGCAAUUCGCGGUAGUGCCACUGCUUCCAACGGUAGUACCGCUUGAUGCGGUUCUUCCGCUCUGGCGCCGCUUGAACUACUGCUGGUUUGUCUGUUAGCCUAUUGACAAUUAGCGACAGUAUCGCUUGUUGUAGCCGGUGGGACCGCUCCGGCAGAACUAGGAUGCGAGUACCACUGUGGUACUCGAUGAGCCUUAGUGAAACUGCCGCUCUUAGCAGUAGUACCGCUUGAGCAUGACCAGUGCAUAAUGGUCUUAUUCUUGCCCCCACUAUAAAAGGGGGUCUUCUUCACCAUUGCUCCUAGCAACUUUGAGCAAGCUUUCUCCUCCAUUAUUGACCUCUAAAAGCUUUGCUUUAUCUCUAUCCCUCCCAUGGUUCUUGCAUCAUUUUGAGGGGAAAGAGAUAGGAUAUCUAGAUUCUAUAUCUACAUUUCCACCAAUCCAUCUUACGUCUAAGUGAGGGGAACCCUUUGGAUCUAAAUCUUCGAGUUCUUUUGUGUUCUCCUUGUUCUUCCUCACAUAUUCCACCAUAGCUUUCGUUAAUUUGUGGGAUUUGAGAGAUGUGGGACUUGAGCACUUAGUGUGUUCUUGCCAUUACAUUAGUUGCAUCGGUUUGAGUUCUCCAUGAUGAUACAUGGAAGUGAAAGUCGAGAAGCUUACUAGUACCUUUUGGGUAUUUGGGUGUCCUAGAUGAUUGGUGGUGUCUCAAAGCUCAAUCAUUGUUGUGUAAAGCUUCGAGAAAGCUUUGGGGUCUCUAAUACGUCCAUUUUAUAUCAUGUUUUCCUACUACUAUUUCUAAUGCUUUAUAGCUAUAUUUCACCUUUGAUGCAAUUCCAAUGCCUUUUCUCUCUUAAUUGCCAGUUAUAUCACAAGAGGAAGAUUGCCGACAGCUGGAAUUCUGGACCUGAAAAGUGCUACAACAGAGAUAGCUAUUCUCUUGAGCUCCAAAUGACCUAAAUUUUUCCAAAGAUUUGUUUUGAAAUAUAUAAAAAAUACUAGAAGCAAAAUGCACUGAAGGGGACGCACUAGGGAGCUACAAGCUCGGGGGCGCGCCCACCCCCUGGGGUGCACCUGGUGAGCUUAUGAGUCCCACAGAAGGUCUAUGUGGCCCAUCGUCUCCUAUAUGAAGCCAUUUUCCCUAUAAAAAUAAUCAAGAGAAGACUUUUGGAACGAAGCGCCACCGUCUCGAGGCGGAACCUGGGCAGGAGCAAUUUUGCUCUGUGGCAAAGCGAUUCCACCGGGGAAACUUCCCUCUGGGAGGGGGAAAUCAAAGCCAUCAUCAUCAUCAACGUUCCUUUCAUCAUGGGAGGACUCAUCUCCGUCAACAUCUUCACUAGCACCAUCUCACUUCAAACCCUAGUUCAUCUCUUGUAUUCAAUCUUUGUCUCAAACCUCAGAGUGGUACAUGUGGGUUGCUAGUAGUGUUGAUUACAUCUUGUAGUUGAUUUACUUGGUGGAAGAUCAUAUCUUUAGAUUUUUAAUCAUAUAUUAUUCUCCUCUUAUCAUGAACAUGAAUAUGAUGUGUGAGUAGUUUCUUUUAUUCUUGAGGAAACAGGAGAAGUCUUGUUGUAAGUAAUCAUGUGAAGUUGGUUUUCAUUCAAUAUUUUGAUGAUGUGCUAUGUUGUUCUUCCUCUAGUGGUGUCAUGUGAAUGUCGACUACAUGUCACAUUAUCAUGUUUGAGCCUAGGGGAAGGCAUUGUGGGAUUAGUCAGUAGAUGAUGGGUUGCUAGAGUGAUAGAAGCUUAAAUCCUAGUUUAUGCGCUAUUUCGUAAGGGGCUGAUUUGGAUCCAUAUGUUUCAUGCUAUGGUUGGAUUUAUCUUAAUUCUUCUUUCGUAGUUGUGGAUGCUUGCGAGAGGGGAUAAGCAUAUCUAGAUUAAGGAUAUGGAUGUACUCAUAUAGAAAUUUAAUGGUAUUAAUUUUAUAAUUUGUUUGGACGUGUGUUAGUGGUUCUAAAAAGGAUGUGAAUACACACAUAUAGCAAAAAUAUAUACAUUAGCGGUUCCAAAGAAUUACGUUAAGGUACUCAUAUAUGAAUAUAUGGCUAGCAGUCCAUACCGUAUGAAACUAGUAUGCUUAAAGAUUAUCUAUGUCAACUCUUACUAAACAUUACAAGGUCCAAUUCUAGUCAAACAGCAAUGCUUCUAUAUCAAUUGCUAAUAAAUUUGGAUGUAUGGAUAAGGAUGAACUUUAACUAUCAUCCAUGUAUUCCAAAAAGUAUAAUUGACACCAAUGUUUCUUGUACACGAUUCUACAAAUCUCUCUAGCAAGUGGUCCCAACAUGCCAAUACAAACAUGAAACCUAGACAAUUUUUAGGGUCCUUGGGGUGAUACUUCUAUAUAAGGGGGGCACAUCUCCGCAUAUCUCCCACUAACAUGUCGUUAGCCAAUGGUUUUGGUAAAUCUCUAGCAUUUCGUAGAUUCUUGUUGCUCUUGUUUAUAGUAGUAAGUUUCAUUUUCUUCAUAGGAUUUAGUAUGCCAAGGAGGGAGAGGCGGUCAGGUGUCGCAUACAUCCAUGAUGACAAAGAGCGUGAUGGCUCCUUCUUCAAGAGGCGCAGUGGUUUGUUCAAGAGCGCUGCUAACCUCAAUGCCCUCACCGGUGCUAGGGUUGCUAUCAUCCUAGAGGGGAGCAAUGUUGUUAUGCUCUUUCAGACAAACCAUCCUACAAUGGAUUUCUUGGGAUGGAUGCUUAAUUGGGUAAUGAUGGUACUAAGUAGACAUUCUUCUAUAGGAAAUGGUGAAUGUGUUUAUGCGCAAUAGGAAUCUUCUUCCAGCGAGCAAGAUGUUGAUGCUUGGGUGCAAUCUGAAGGACUUAGUUAGAAGCUAGUUAGACUUACAUUUUAGUUUUAUAUCAGAAUGAAAGCUAGUUACAUUACCACCUGGAAAAUGUUACCAUUUGGACAUUUUACUAAGCCCCUUCCAGGCAAUAAUAUACAUGUUCAGUGUUGUAGGUCUUGGAACAUGGAAGUUUUUUUUCUAUGUGCCGCUUCAUAUUUUCAUUAUAAUCAAAUAUUUUAUUUUCUUUGUGAGAUGUUAUGUAUCUUAUGGGUGAAGGAAGAGGAAACCUUGAUUUAUAAUACCACCCCUCUUAGCAUAUUCUGAUCCAACCAUUAGUAAUUAACAGAAAAUGGGAGCUAUGCGGAGUAAGUAACUAAAAGGUAGCACAAGUUCAUAUUUCCACUCAAGCGACAAGCAUCAAUUGCUUUAAUUGCAUAAGUGUAUGAAAAAUAAGAACAACUCAAUAUGAGAUUCAUUUGAAAUCACGGUAAAUCAAUGUUUUAUUAAUAGAUGCCAAUGCUUUAUUGUCAUUAAAUUAAAACCAUAGUAUACCUGCGAGGACAUGGCGGCCACCUAAUUCUCCAUUUCAGUUUCAGUAGCAGGAAACAACAAAUUUAUGAAAUGAAUCUACUUUUGUUGCCUUCGUUGGUUUUUAUCCUUGAAUAAAAAGUGAUUUUUUUGUAAUGAUAUUGCUCAUCUAAUUAAUAAAUUAGACCAUCGGCCGAUUGCAUUAUGCAAUUGUUCUAAUCUUCUCACCGUUGAAAGAGCAUGGUGCCCCAAUGUUUGGUUUUUGUAAUUGAUGACAAUCUCUAUGGAUUAAUGGUUGCUUUGAGUUAUAUUUGAAAGGUUAUCCAUAGGCAAUGCUUGAAUACCAUAUGUUGGUUUCAAGGUUGAAAGAAGAAUAUUAUUUGUUGACCAAGGUGUUAUUCAUGGAGUUAUCCAAAGAUUGGUCCUGUAAGAGUUGAGUCUAUUGCAAGCAUGUCCUGAAAAAGAAGAUUAUGUGAACAUUCAUGUAGCCUUCAAUACAUCAUCUUUAUGAAGAGAGAGGAUAAGAUACAAGGUUGAUCAAGACUAAGUACAAAGAAUGGAUUCAAGUUGAUGAACACACAAAGCAUAGAAGAUGUACCGAGUCAAAUCAAGUGAUCUCACGGUAUGGUAAGCAUUGUCCAUUAUGCUUUGUGUAACACAUGAUCUAUUUGUGUGGUGUUCCUAUGUGGGGCUACUUUUUUUCCAUGGGCUUACAUCAAGAGGAAGAUAUCAGAUAACCCAUGGAGGAUGACAUCAUGUGGUGAUCGUCAUCAAUGUUAUGUUGAGCAAGUUCAAGUGGAGCAUCACAAAGAGAUCACAUGCUUGAAGCUUGCCAUCCAUUCUAGUGAUAAUGGACUUGUGAAGAUGUGCCAAAGAGAGGCUCACCCAUAGUGGAGUAUGGGGGAGCAAUAUAUUAGUCUUCAUCGAGCUAGCGCAAUCAGAAAGGUGGUCCAACGUGAGGAGGACGAGAUCAUCAUCAUCUAGCUCAAGUGGACUAUGUGCAAGGCAAAGGUUUGACCUUAAUAGGUUUUCUGUUUUACCGAUCUGAUGGUGUUAGUUGGGAGACCGGGUUGAAGGAUUGAUUCACGUACUAUCAAGGGGGCUCUCGAGUGAGUAGCUUGAUCGUAUCAUUCAUAGAGAGCUCAAACCAUUGCAUCAUCGGCAUCAUCUUUCUUGGUUCUUGUUUGGCUUUUCUCUAUGUGAGUUUUGGAGCUUGUGGUCAUCUCCAUGACAAGUUCAAGUUCAUCAAAAAUGGAUUUCAUAUGCAGCAUCUAUUGUGUUUUCGAUGUAGGAGUUUUUGCCAGUUCUUCACUCAUGUAUAUUUCACACCUAUCAAGUUUCAAUUCAUCAAAAUCAAAGUUCAUUUGCCGAAGGUAUGCCUGUUUUGGUCUUAAUUACUUGCAUUCAACUGUUGUGCUUUGGUAUUUUGGUAGAGGGCAAGCGUUCUGCUUGGGCUGAGCCUUCUGUUGCCCCUCAACAUUUCGCGGUAGUACCGCUUGCUACUGGUGGUAGUACUGCUUAUGCAGUACUUCCGCUGGUUGGUGUCGUGGCUACCUCUGGUUGUGUUUAGUCUUCUGUAUGCCUCUGGCAAUUUGCGGUAGUACCGCUGCUUCCAACGGUAGUACCGCUUGAUGUGGUUCUUCCGCUCUAGUGCCGCUUGAACUACUGCUAGUUUGUCUGUUAGCCUAUUGACAAUUAGUGGCAGUACCGCUUGCUGUAGCCGGUGGGACCGCUCCGGCAGAACUAGAAUGCGAGUACCACUAUGGUACUCGAUGAGCCUCAGUGAAACUGCCGCUCUUAGCGGUAGUACCGCUUGAGCAUGACCAGUGCAUAAUGGUUGUAUUCUUGCCCCCACUAUAAAAGGGGGUCUUCUUCACCAUUGCUACUAGCAACUUUGAGCAAGCUUUCUCCUCCAUUAUUGACCUCCAAAAUCUUUGCUUUACCUCUAUCCCUCCCAUGGUUCUUGCAUCAUUUUGAGGGGAAAGAGAGAGGAUAUCUAGAUUCUAUAUCUUCAUUUCCACUAAUCCAUCUUACGUCUAAGUGAGGGCAACCCUUUGGAUCUAAAUCUUCGAGUUCUUUUGUGUUCUCCUUGUUCUUCCUCACAUAUUCCUCCAUAGCUUUCGUUACUUUGUGGGAUUUGAGAGAUGUGGGACUUGAGCACUUAGUGUGUUCUUGCCAUUACAUUAGUUGCAUCGGUUCGAGUUCUCCAUGAUGAUACAUGGAAGUGAAAGUCGAGAAGCUUACUAGUACCUUUUGGGUAUUUGGGUGUCCUAGAUGAUUGGUGGUGUCACAAAGCUCAAUCAUUGUUGUGUAAAGCUUCGGGAAAGCUUUGGGGUCUCUAAUACGUCCAUUUUAUAUCAUGUUUUCCUACUACUAUUUCUAAUGGUUUAGAGCUAUAUUUCACCUUUGAUGCAAUUCCAAUGCCUUUUCUCUCUUAAUUGCCAGUUAUAUCACAAGAGGAAGAUUGCCGACAGCUGGAAUUCUGGACCUGAAAAGUGCUACAACAGAGAUAGCUAUUCUCUUGAGCUCCAAAUGACCUAAAUUUUUCCAAAGAUUUGUUUUGAAAUAUAUAAAAAAUACUAGAAGCAAAAUGCACUGGAGGGGACGCACUAGGGAGCUACAAGCUCGGGGGCGCGCCCACCCCCUGGGGCGCACCUGGUGAGCUUAUGGGUCCCACAGAAGGCCUAUGUGGCCCAUCGUCUCCUAUAUGAAGCCAUUUUCCCUAUAAAAAUAAUCAAGAGAAGACUUAGCGCCACCGUCUCGAGGCGGAACCUGGGCAGGAGCACUUUUGCUCUCUGGCAGAGCGAUUCCACCAGGGAAACUUCCCUCUGGGAGGGGGAAAUCAAAGCCAUCAUCAUCAUCAACAAUGUUCCUUUCAUCAUGGGAGGACUCAUCUCCGUCAACAUCUUCACUAGCACCAUCUCACUUCAAACCCUAGUUCAUCUCUUGUAUUCAAUCUUUGUCUCAAACCUCAGAGUGGUACAUGUGGGUUGCUAGUAGUGUUGAUUACAUCUUGUAGUUGAUUUACUUGGUGGAAGAUCAUAUCUUUAGAUUUUUAAUCAUAUAAUUCUCCUCUUAUCAUGAACAUGAAUAUGAUGUGUGAGUAGUUUCUUUUAUUCUUGAGGAAACAGGAGAAGUCUUGUUAUAAGUAAUCAUGUGAAGUUGGUUUUCAUUCAAUAUUUUGAUGAUGUGCUAUGUUGUUCUUCCUCUAGUGGUGUCAUGUGAAUGUCGACUACAUGUCACAUUAUCAUGUUUGAGCCUAGGGGAAGGCAUUGUGGGAUUAGUCAGUAGAUGAUGGGUUGCUAGAGUGAUAGAAGCUUAAAUCCUAGUUUAUGCGCUAUGUCGUAAGGAGCUGAUUUGGAUCCAUAUGUUUCAUGCUAUGGUUGGAUUUAUCUUAAUUCUUCUUUCGUAGUUGUGGAUGCUUGCGAGAGGGGAUAAGCAUAUCUAGAUUAAGGAUAUGGAUGUACUCAGAUAGAAAUUUAAUGGUAUUAAUUUUAUAAUUUGUUUGGACGUGUGUUAGUGGUUCUAAAAAGGAUGUGAAUACACACAUAUAGCAAAAAUAUAUACAUUAGUGGUUCCAAAGAAUUACGUUAAGGUACUCAUAUAUGAAUAUAUGGCUAGCAGUCAAUACCGUAUGAAACUAGUAUUCUUAAAGAUUAUCUAUGUCAACUCUUACAAAAGAUUACAAGGUCCAAUUCUAGUCAAACAGCAAUGCUUCUAUAUCAAUUGCUAAUAAAUUUGGAUGUAUGGAUAAGGAUGAACUUUAACUAUCGUCCAUGUAUUGCAAAAAGUAUAAUUGACACCAAUGUUUCUUGUACACGAUUCUACAAAUCUCUCUAGCAAGUUGUCCCAACAUGCCGAUACAAACAUGAAACCUAGACAAUUUUUAGGGUCCUUGGGGUGAUACUUCUAUAUAAGGGGGGCACAUCUCCGCAUAUCUCCCACUAACAUGUCGUUAGCCAAUGGUUUUGGUAAAUCUCUAGCAUUUCGUAGAUUCUUGUUGCUCUUGUUUAUAGUAGUAAGUUUCAUUUUCUUCAUAGGAUUUAGUAUGCCAAGGAGGGAGAGGCGGUCAGGUGUCGCAUACAUCCAUGAUGACAAAGAGCGUGAUGGCUCCUUCUUCAAGAGGCGCAGUGGUUUGUUCAAGAGCGCUGCUAACCUCAAUGCCCUCACCGGUGCUAGGGUUGCUAUCAUCCUAGAGGCGAGCAAUGGUGUUAUGCUAUUUCAGACAAACCAUCCUACAAUAGAUUUCUUGGGAUGGAUGCUUAAUUGGGUUAUGAUGGUACUAAGUAGACAUUCUUCUAUAGGAAAUGGUGAAUGUGUUUAUGCGCAAUAGGAAUCUUCUUCCAGCGAGCAAGAUGUUGAUGCUUGGGUGUAAUCUGAAGGACUUAGUUAGAAGCUAGUUAGACUUACAUUUUAGUUUUAUAUUGGAAUGAAAGCUAGUUACAUUACCACCUGGAAAAUGUUACCAUUUGGACAUUUUACUAAGCCCCUUCCAGGCAAUAAUAUACAUGUUCAGUGUUGUAGGUCUUGGAACAUGGAAGUUUUUUUUCUAUGUGCCGCUUCAUAUUUUCAUUAUAAUCAAAUAUUUUAUUU